AAAAUAUGCUCUCAUCAACAAAUAGGCCUUUAUUUGUAAACAAGUGUUAUGCUCGGAAAUGAUGAAAGUUUUUAUCUUUUUUCUAAUUGUUUUCUUAUAAAAUCGUUAUAUUAGUUUGCAUGUAGUAUAAAUUUGGUUAAAUAAUUCAAUCAUGUUUCGACCGUCGAAACGCUGGCAUUUUUCUUUACAGUUAUUGCAGCGAAAACUGAUGAAGAAAUGUAGUUAUUGCCCUGAAACAAAAAGCCCUAACAUAUUUGGUUUUAAAGAAAAACUUUCAAAAGGGCCUUCUCUUGCCUCUUUCAUUGAUAACACUAGCCUUCAACCUAGAGUGAAUAGUGAAUAUCCCCCUUACAUAUCUCCAGAUCCAUCGUCAAAUAAUAAACAAAAAGUUUACAUUGAAACAUAUGGAUGUCAAAUGAAUGUAAGUGAUACUGAAGUAAUUUAUGCUAUUUUGGAGAAAGAAGGGUAUGAAAUUUCAAGGAACAUUAAUGAUACGAAUACCAUAUUAGUCAUGACUUGUUCCAUUCGGGAAGGAGCUGAACAAAAAAUAUGGAAUAGAUUAAAAUACUUUAGGCAGCUAAAGCACAAUCAUGACAAGAAUUCUCAGCAUCCAAUGAAAAUUGGUGUUUUAGGUUGUAUGGCUGAAAGAUUAAAACGCCAAUUAUUAGAGAAAGAAAAAAUUGUAGAUAUAAUAGCUGGCCCUGAUAGCUAUAAGGAUUUACCAAAUUUAUUAUCUCAAGCUGACGAAGGUCAAAAAGCUGUUAAUAUAAUGCUCUCAGUUGAUGAAACAUAUGCUGAUAUCAUGCCUGUGAGGAUAAACCCAAAUUCUAAGUCUGCAUUUGUGUCUAUUAUGAGAGGUUGUGAUAAUUUGUGUUCAUAUUGCAUUGUUCCCUUUACUCGUGGAAGAGAACGGAGUAGACCUAUUAGUUCAAUUGUAGAUGAGGUGAAACAUCUCUCUGAUCAGGGUGUUAAGGAGGUCACAUUGUUAGGGCAAAAUGUAAAUAGCUACAGAGACUUGUCAGUAUCAGUGAACACUAAAACCGUUCUCAGUUCUGGUUUUAAAACUGAAUAUAAAAAAAGGAAAGGAGGUUUAAGGUUUGCAGAUCUACUUGAUAAAGUGUCUGAUGUUAAUCCUGAAAUGAGGAUAAGAUUCACUUCCCCUCAUCCUAAAGACUUUCCCGAUGAGGUGCUUCAUCUAAUAAAUGAAAAACCAAAUAUCUGUAAAUUAAUCCAUUUGCCAGCACAAAGUGGUAAUAAUUCUGUAUUAGAAAAUAUGAAAAGAGGUUAUACGAGAGAAGCCUAUUUGGAAUUGGUUGAUCAUAUUAAAAAUAUUAUUCCUGAUGUUGCUUUAACAUCAGAUUUUAUCUGUGGAUUUUGCGAUGAAUCUGAAGAUGCUCAUAAGGAUACAAUAUCACUGAUGAAACAAGUGAAAUAUGAAUUUGCCUAUAUUUUUGCUUACAGUAUGCGGGAGAAAACUAUUGCUCAUAAGACCUUGAUUGAUAAUGUACCUGAGGAUGUGAAAAAACAAAGAGCUGAUGAGGCUUACACUGUUUUUAGAGAAUGUGCUUUGGAACUUCAUUCUAAAGAAAUUGGCAAUCAACACUUAGUUCAAGUCAUAGGUCCCAGCAAACGAUCUGAAUUAGAUUGGUCAGGUAGAAAUGAUUGGAACACAAAAGUAAUUUAUCCACAGAUUCCUAUUCCUGUAGAAAGUUGUUCUGAUGUUCAAAGAUUACCAACUCCUGGUGAUUAUAUCGUUGUUGAGGUGCGCGGAUACCCUGGUUUCAUCAGUUUUGAAAAUGAACGUUCUGCAGCAGCAAUGGUUACAGGAACAGUACAAAGAAUUCUUAAAAUAAUCACAAUAAUUGGUUGUCUUUCUACAAAUGCUUUAAAAUUUUGAAUGAUGAGGUUAUUGUUUCUGGGAUAGAACAAAUAAAAACUGUCAUUUCUGUUAUGUCUUGCUCAUCCCAAGUUUUGAAGGGAAAACCUUUGUAUCAUACAACACUACAGAAUUUUUAUGCAGAUCACAGAAAAAAAUAUGUAUCAUAUAAUUAAUAAAAUAAUUCGUUUUAGUGCA